UUAUGGUAGCAGGGAUAGAGGAGGCAGAUAGCCCACUGAUGAUUGGUGAUGAGGUGAGGCAGAGUCUCUCUCUAGAGGUUGGGGGGAUGGCCUUUCGUUUGGACUGAGGGCAUCCCAUCGAGCCCUCAAUUCUAUUGAGAAUGGGGCUAGCCUCCAAUGAUGUAGGCGUUGGAGGUGGUAAGGUGGGUGGUUGCCCGGCCCACUUGGAGAAAGAGAGGC
rnacentral:lncRNA from 1 species